rnacentral:rRNA from 1 species
UACGUAGGGCGCAAGCGUUGUCCGGAAUUAUUGGGCGUAAAGAGCUCGUAGGCGGCUUGUCACGUCGGGUGUGAAAGCCCGGGGCUUAACCCCGGGUCUGCAUUCGAUACGGGCAGGCUAGAGUGUGGUAGGGGAGAUCGGAAUUCCUGGUGUAGCGGUGAAAUGCGUAGAUAUCGAGAGGAACACCUGCGGCGAAGGCGGGUAGCUGGGCCGACACUGACGCUGAUGCGCGAAAGCCAGGGGAGCGAACGGG